UCGAGAAUCUUCCCCAAUGGGCGAAAGCCUGAGGGAGCGACGCCGCGUGAGGGAUGAAGGCCCUUUGGGUUGUAAACCUCUGUUAGGGGGAAAGAACAGCGGGAGGAGCAACAUGCCUCCUGCCUGACGUUACCCCCAGAGAAAGCUCCGGCCAACUCCGUGCCAGCAGCCGCGGUAAUACGGGGGGAGCAAGCGUUGUCCGGAAUCAUUGGGCGUAAAGGGCGUGUAGGCGGCCUGGCAAGUCGAAUG
rnacentral:rRNA from 1 species